UUAACCGUGCUUACUUGCAAAGCGUUGCUAAUGUUAUUUUAGAACAUUGAUCGAUAUUAGUUAGUGCGCAAUUCCUUCAGUUGAUUAAUUAUUCGUGGCUUCCAUUCAGGUUGCGUCAUUCGAAUUUUAAAUUUGACUUCUUAACUAUCGGCUUUGUUAAAUUCGGAAACAAAGUUUCACAUUAACUUUGCAAUUCUAUUUGGCAAUAGAAAGCUGAUUAACGAGGAAUGUGUUAAUUACAAGCGCGUGAGCUUAGUUGGACCUGUACAAGCCGCUAUCAUAUAUAAUUCGUACCAUGACCACCCUAAUCGUUUCAAAUAGUUAAAACCUCUUAGCUGAAAACCUUUAGGCAUUAUGUAGAACCACUGCUCGGAAUUGAGAGGGAAAUCGUUAUUGCGUCAAAACUCGUCUGAGGCCAAUUUCUGGUUGAAAGUAUUGUUCACAAAUCUCGCUGUUAAUGAACUUGUUUUUACUUAGUGUCAAUGUUUUCAGACUUUCUUUGGUUCGAUUAGUUGUAUUGAUUAUUAUGUCUGUGUUAAGUUUAUUACCUUACCCGUGUGCACUUAAAAUGAUAAACCUCUCUGAAACUGAUACGAUUUUAUGGACCUAUUUUUCAGAUAAUUCUCCAAUACGAAUUUAAGAAGAGGAACGAAGCACGAUGUCCUUUGAACUUGCAUCAAAUGGCACAAGUCCUCCUUCUUCUAUGUUGAAAAAAGAGAUACUGCUUCUUUUAGAGAGUUGUAAAGAUUGUAUGGACAUUCUUGGUAAAGAAUUACGAAUCGAUACGACACAAUGUAAGGCAGUCUGUGAGGUUGUUGCUACUUCUGAAGAAAGAGAUGGCCAAGAACUGUCAUUAGAUAAGUGGAUGUCCAUAUUUCAAAGCCUUGGAUGUCCAGAAGAAUUUGAAAAGCUCCUUGAGGAAGAUGUAUUACUUGAUGUCAACACUUUGGAUAAUUGUCCUCCAGAUAGCUCUAGCAACCAUACACAAGAGACUCUUCUAAAGGAAUCAGAAGAGUUGAGACAACAGAAAAUCAAGCCUGUUGAUGGACAUUCAAGACUUUCUGAAAGUGAAUUGAAGUCAAACUUGCCAUCCAAGCCAGGAGAUAAUGUAGAGGAGACUUGGAAGACAAGCACUGCCCUAGGUAAUAGCCCAGAAUUGGGUUUACCACCUCCUCUGGAAGAUGAAACAAGUAUGGAACUUGUGAAAGACACUACAACAGUUCUGAAAGAUGAUGAUGAAGAACAUCAAUAUCCAGAAGUUGGCAAAGGUUCAGAAAGUAUGGUGUUAUCUGUUGGACAAAAGGAAAACAGUCAGACAAAUGCAAGUAGCUUACUAGAAGAAGAGAGCCAUUCAACAUCACAAAUCAAUGACGAUGGUAAUUUGAAUUCAGGUGACUUAAGGUCAAGAUCACAACCAGUCACUUCUAAUGCAACAAAUUCUCCUCUACCAAUAGUUACAGGGCAUCAGUACCGUCCAAACAGCCCAAAAGCUGGUGAAGUCAUUGCUGUCAAUCAAGAUGGGCAGAACCUUCAAGAACAUGGGAGAGUGUUAUGUGCUGCUUUUUCACUACCAUUAGCUAAUGAGAGUAGCUUAACAGCUAACCACCUAUUCCAUGAGGGCACUCCAUCUCACAUAUCUGGUAUGGAUGAAGAAACAGACAGCAGGUCAUGGUCACAGAUUGAAACAGUUUCUAUUCCAAACCUAGAUGGUUUGAGUACAGGAUCAAGACCAGUUUCUCCUGAUGCAGCAAAUUACCAGAUACUGCCUGUUGAAAGUCACCAAUUACAUCCAAGCAAGCAAAUGAACUGUCAUGCAAAUGCUGUGGAUCAUGAUUGGCAGACCUUGGGAGGGGGAAUGCCGCUUGAUGCUCAACCAUCAUCAGCCAGUAGUUUACCAGCUUUGCAUGCAAAGCCUGUAGUGCAGGAUCCUGUGGGCCAAUUCCACCAGACUACUGAAAUUGACUCAUAUGGUGCAGAUGAAGCAGAAGACAGCAGUUCAUCAUCACAGAGUGAUACAGAUGGGAGUUUGUCUGCGGGUGACUCAAAGGCACAAUCAAGACUAACUACAAUUUCCCCUCAACUUCAUCUAUUACCUCCAAACAACCUGAUGUCUGGUAAAGCAGCUGUGAUGACUGUUGGGCCAGCUAUGCUGGAAAACAAGGGAAUGCCACUUGAUGCUCAACUGUCACCAGCCAUCAGUGCAAGUAGUUUACCAGCUUUGCAUGCAAGGCCUGUAGUGCAGGAUCCUGUGGGCCAGUUCCACCAGACUACUGCAACUGACACAUAUGGCGCAGGUGAAGCAGAGGACAGCAGUUCAUCAUCACAGAGUGAUGCAGAUGGGAGUUUAUCUUGGAAUGACUCAGGAACACAAUCAAGACCAGUUACUCCUCAAGCUGCAAUUUCCCCUCAACUUCGUCUAUUACCUCUAAACAACCCAAUGCCUGGUAAAGCAAAUUCAGCUGUGAGUCCUGAUAGGCCAGUCUUAAACAGGGGAAUGCCACUUGAUGCUCAACUGUCACCAACCAUUGAUGCAAGCAGUUUACCAGCUCUGCAUGCAAGGCCUGCAGUGCAGAAUCCUGUUUGCCAAGUUCACCAGGGUAUGGCUCAUGCCACACACAGCACAGAUGAAGGGGAAAGUAGUGGUUCACCAUCAGAAAAUGAUGAUGCGACUCAGGACGUGAAUAUUCUUCAACAGGUUCAGGCACCUUUUCAAUUGGGGGAAAUUGCCUUUUUGACUCGGAACCUGUGGAAGAUGACUGAAAAAUAUGAGGCAUGCAUGGAAGACCUACAGGCAUGUGAGCAAGACCUGCAGCAUUCUAGACAACAGUGUGCUCAGCUUCAAGGAACCAGUGAUGAGUUGCAAAGAUAUCUGGAUUACAGCAACUAUCUGCAACAAGAAAAUCAGCGCCUGAUAGGAAUGACUCAAGAGAUGUGUGAAUGUAAAGAUCAGGCAAUUCAGCAACUCAGACAGGAAAAUGAAAGUCUUAGAGGGGAACAGCUACAGAUGCUCCGUCAAAUGGCCCAAAGACACAACAGUUAUCAGCAACAGGUAGAGCACUUAGAAAGGGAAUGUCAAGAACGAUCAGAACAUCUCAGGCCAUUGUGAAGCGUUUUCGGCAAGUUAGCGCUAUGUUGGUGUUUUAGCAGUUCCUAGCUUUGGGAUGUUGUAGCGCUAGCUAACUCAAAGAAAAACAGAAACAUUAAAGCUUAUAAUGUUAACUUUAUCUCAAUGGCCAGAAGAACUGACUUUUGUUUCAAAACAACGAACUGCGACAGACUGUUGCCGAGGUCCGACAGUUACGAGAAUGUGUUCUUGAAGCGGGAUAUGAGAGGUUGAGGCUUGAA
rnacentral:misc_RNA from 1 species